UACGAAGGGGGCUAGCGUUGCUCGGAAUCACUGGGCGUAAAGCGCGUGUAGGCGGUUCGGUAAGUCCGCUGUGAAAGUCGGGGGCUCAACCCUCGGAUGCCGGUGGAUACUGUCGGACUAGAGUACGGAAGAGGCGAGUGGAAUUCCUGGUGUAGCGGUGAAAUGCGCAGAUAUCAGGAGGAACACCGAUUGCGAAGGCAGCUCGCUGGGACGUUACUGACGCUGAGACGCGAAAGCGUGGGGAGCAAACAGG
rnacentral:rRNA from 1 species